rnacentral:lncRNA from 1 species
UUUGGAUACAGAACACAUAACUUAGGGAGAAAUCCUGAUAAGUCCCAUUGUCCCCGGAUUACCCACUGGCAUCUUAGGCCAGAUUCAUUCAUCUGGCAGCCUGCCCUGCCCUGGCAUGCCCGGGACAGCUGAUGCUCCAGGAGCAGGUGAACAUGGCCAGAAUAUCACCUUGGAGGUGUGGGGACAGAGCUGAAGACCAAGCAACACAGGUAGCACCUCUGAGGUUGGUGGGGACCCCAAGACCACCUACCCACAGGAAGUAGGACUCCCUCCUAACCAUGUGAGCUAAGCUAUAAAGACCAGCAUGGCGCCUGGGAUUACUAUGGAUUCAAAAAACUUUGCAAAAAUAUUUUGGAGGCUGGACUCAUCACCAGGUACCCAUCAUAAGGUCUUUAUUCAUUCAAAGCCUUGAUCAACUGAGCACUAAGCAUCACCUCAUCAAAAUCACCUGGAGUGCAGUUGGAGGCUGCAGUGAGCUAUGACUACACUACUGUGCUUCAGCCUGGGUGAUAGAGCGAGACCCUGUCUCAAAAAAAAAAAAAAAAUCACCUGGAGGAGUAAUAACAAGUUUGUUAAAAUGCAGAUUUUAGGCUCCCCCAAAGAUCUUCUAAAUCAGAUUUUUUACCCAUACCUCACUACCCCCACUUCUUUUUUUUUUUUUUUUUUUUUUUUUUUUUUUUGAGACAGAGUCUCACUCUUGUUACCCAAGCUGGAGUGCAGUGGCGCAAUCUCUGCUCACUGCCACCUCCGCCUCCCAGGUUCAAGCAGUUCUCCUGCCUCAGCCUCCUGAGUGGCUGGGAUUACAGGCACCUGCCACCACGCCUGGCUAAUUUUUGUAUUUUUAGUAGAGACAGGGUUUUGCCAUGUUGGCCAGGCUUGUCUCAAACUCCUGACCUCAGGUGAUCCACCUGCCUCGGCCUCCCAAAGUGCUGGGAUUACAGGCGUGAGCCACCACACCCGGCCUCAGCCCCCAUUUCUUAAGCCUACUAAAGUUUUAGAUUAUGUAAAAUGCUUAGCACAGUUAAGAGACUGUUCACAUAUGCCAGGCACCUUAUCUAGUAGCUGGAAGCAUACGAAAUUGCCAAUUGCCAAUAGUCUAUCAUUUUUGACCUUUAAAAAUGGCAAUUUCAUAUGGCUCAACCGAAUGCAUUGGCUAGAUCUCAUCCCAACCUUCCAAGCAGACAUAGUUAUUCCUAGUUUACAGUAAAGACCAUGAAACUCCAAGGGGUUAAACAUCUUGCUGAAGGGCACAGCUCUAAUGAAAGGCACAGGUGGGAUUCCAGUGCAAGUCUCUUCUGCCUGCAGCCUUGGUUCCUCCUUCUGUUCUCCAGCAAUCCACCACUGCUCCUCAGGACGACUGCAAACACCAGACGGAAGUGCAUCAUUUUGGCCACAGUGUCCCAGGUCGAAACACCACCUCUGACUCCAAACAGAGCCAUGAGUUUGUCCCUUGAGGCUCGGGCUAUGUGCACAAGUUUUCAGAAUGCCUUGUUU